AGCCUGAUGAUGUCCUCCUCCAGUUGCCGC
rnacentral:piRNA from 1 species